rnacentral:rRNA from 1 species
UACGUAGGGCGCAAGCGUUGUCCGGAAUUAUUGGGCGUAAAGAGCUCGUAGGCGGUUUGUCGCGUCUGCUGUGAAAUCCCGAGGCUCAACCUCGGGUCUGCAGUGGGUACGGGCAGACUGGAGUGCGGUAGGGGAGAAUGGAAUUCCUGGUGUAGCGGUGGAAUGCGCAGAUAUCAGGAGGAACACCGAUGGCGAAGGCAGUUCUCUGGGCCGUAACUGACGCUGAUGCGCGAAAGCGUGGGGAGCAAACAGG